ensembl:lncRNA
CUCCAGACCAGAAUACUGGAGCUCCCUUCUCCAGAGGAUCUUCCCAACUCAGGGAUUGAGCCCAGGUCUCCCACUUUGCAGGUGGAUUCUUUACCAGCUGAGCCACAAGGGAAACCCAAGAAUACUGGAGUGGGUAGCCUAUCCUUUCUCCAAGGGAUUUUCCUGACCCAGGAUUCGAACCAGAGUCUCCUGAACUGCAGGUGGAUUCUUUACCAACUGAGCUAUCCUAGGUCUUUAAUCAUUUUUAAACAGAGACAUCACUUUGCUAUACAUUCCAUAGGCAAAAUGUCCAUACAGUCAAAGCUAGGGCUUUUCCAGUGGUCAUGUGUAGAUGUAAAAGUUGGACCAUAAAGAAAGCUGGGCACCAAAGAACUGAUGCUUUUGAAUUUUGGUGCUAGAGAAGACUCUUUAGAGUCUCUUUGAUUGCGAGGAGAUUAAGCCAGUCAAUCCCAAAGGAAAUCAACCCUGAAUAUUCAUUGGAAGGACUGAAGUUGAAGCUGAAGCUCCAAUACUUUGGCCACCUGAUGCAACAAGCUGAUUCACUGGAAAGACCUUGAUGCUGGGAAAGAUUGAGGGCAGGAGGAGAAGAGAGUGGCAUAGGAUGAGAUGGUUAUAUAGCUUCACUGACUCAAUGGACUUGAAUUUGAGCAAACUCCAGGAGAUAGUGAAGGACAGGGAAGCCUGGUGUGCUGAAGUCCAUGGGGUUGCAAAGAGUCAGACACGACUAAGUGACUCAACAACAAAAAAUGACCACAAGAAGUUCUUGAACCUUCCUGGAGAAUUUCAAGACCCCAACAGAUCUUCCAAGCACACCCUUCCUCAGAACAACUCCAUCCCUCAUCCCCUGCCUCUGCAGCUGCCUUCACAACCCUUAGAGAAGAUAAACUUGUAACCCAGGCUGGGAAAUUGAGCCUGACUCAUGCUGAGAAGUUGAGUAGUAUAAAGGGCAUCUAGUACUUUAAUUUACUGCUUCAGACUUCUCUGUGUCCUUACCAGAAGCUUAUUGCCACAGUCCUCCGGGCUCUUUCAACUCAAACCCUUUAUACACCUCGCUAGAAAUGUGUAACUACAAAAGUUCCAAACCAUUAGUUUAGAUUCUUUCCAGAUCCUUUCAGAAGGUCUGCCCUAAAGACAGUGACAUGCAGUAAAUUACCUCAAAGGGAACAUGCCGCAGAAUGCUUGCUGGAAAGAUGAUCUAGGACGGAAGAGACAAAACAAGGAGAGGCAUUUAAAAUCUGUCUGAAGUGCAUUUUACCCCUUUUAGCCCACGAAUGCCAUGAACACAAUGGUGAUACUAAUAUUGUUCCCAUUACCUCUAUACUGGAUUAACAAAUACCUCUUUUGUGGCUCUCCAGAGGGUCUGCCAUCUGUGGCUUCCAGAGGAUGUCUGAAAAGGGAGAGAAGCAUAUCACAGCUGCAAAGGAAAGCGCCUGCUGAUUUUAUAUACUCAAUCUGAGGCCUGCUGUAAACCCAGCCCUGCACGAUGCAUGAUGUGAAAUGCACAGUCAUAACAAAGCCCUCAUCUCUUCCUUCAAGAUGCUCACAAAUCAGUUUUAGCACAGGAAGCAUCAUACACAGGGAGGAGCCCCGUUUUCUGGUUACAAGCUCUAUGGAACCUGACUGCCUGGCUCCAUCUUCCACCAGCUACAUGGAUUUGGGCGAGGAAAAUGACAUGAGAAGAAAUACCCAGGAUGCUAGAUGAGUGACUUGACAAGGGAGAUCAACAAGUCAAAUGGCCAAGCAUGUGUAAAUAGCCCAGGGGCGCCCUGUACCAGACAGACUGGAACAACAUCAGCUCCUUAGCCACUGGUGUUCAAACGGCUCGUUUCCUACUAAGCAAGAGGGCACUGCAUUCAACAAGAGUGACGGAAAACCAAAUCAUGCAGAAAGUCAGUCUGCUAGCAACGCUUCAGAAGGGAAGACAUUUAUCAGUGGAUUCUUUACUGCUGAGGCAUCAGGAAAGCAAAUUAGCUAUACUUCAAUUUAAAACAAACAAACAAUAAAACCUUAAAACAAAACAAAUGAGUCAUAGACAUCUAACGGAUAUAUUGUUUAAAGAAGACAAAAACUAAACUGGUUAUAGAUUUGGAAAAGAGCAGAGGAGAGAAAUGGUUAAAGGAACCGAGAUUGGCCCCUCAGGGUGGCUGAGUAACAUACGGAGUGUUAUUAGAUCAAAGUCCCCUAUCACCGAGGAGAAAACAACCAAAAAUUGGCUUUAAGUCAAUCCAGAAAGAUGUCAGCUUAGUUUUUAGGAUGAAUUCUUCGUGCAUAAAUUGAUACGUAUCAUAUUAGAUUACAAAGGGAAGUCUUGUAAUCUUGUUCCCAGGAGAUGCUUGGAUGUGAGACAGGAAAGCCCCAGUAACACGCAUGACCAUUUCGAGUGGCUGAUUCACCCAGAGCCAGAGG